UUUAGAACAGGUCAUGUAAUGGUGACAGACUGACAGUGGACUAUCAGCCUUCAAAACAUCAACUUUUAUUCCAAACUUACAAUCUCAAGUAACUUGAGAUUACACUUUACACACUAUCAAGAUCUUCAAUUACACACUAUCAAAAUCUGAUAUUUUUCAAGAAAUUUGUACCCAUUUUUAUAUUCAUUCCUUGUAUAUGUCUGGACUUGAUAAGGAUCAAAAGGCCAAAAAGGGGUUUUGGUUUGAAUUCAGAAAGAUAUGGAGAAGGAAUCAGAUGUUUUCAAAUUUAGGUUCUUGCUGUUUUUUAGGACUUGGACCAUAGAUCCUGGUGUUUAAGAUAUGGAAUAGGUGAUAAUAGAGAAGAGAGCACCUGAGGAUUUGAUUGCUUCUUAGCUGGGAAUGUGAAGAUCAAACAGGAUCAGAUGGUCCAAAUAUAUUAGGAUUAGUAAUGUUGAUCCUGGUGAUGAACAUAUGGACAAUGUGGAACUGAAUUAGAGAGCACACAGCAGCAUUAGUGAAUGGUAGUAACUAUUAAAGAAAUAUAGGGAGGCAAGGCCAUUGCAGUUUGCAAUAGGACUAGUGCACUGCUGGUGGGGGCAUUUUGUUGAUGUCGGUUUCUGGAAGGAAAUGAUUAUGCCACAACAUGAAGUGCUUUAUAACUUUUAAAGCUAUUUAAGAUGUAUAUAUUUUCCUGUAGGGAUAAUAAUGACUAAUGUGGUAAAACUUUGUACUUUUUAGGCGUUUUGUUGAUUGUAGAACUGUAUUUAUUAUAUAGCCAACAACAAUAUUGCAUUUUAGUUUGUAUUUGUCGACAGAAAAUGUUAAUGGAAUCACUUGGUUCCAAUAUCUCAAAAUGUGAAGUAAAUAUUAAUGGAGUUAUGUUUACUUGUUAUUUAUUUUUAUCUUCGAUAAAUUGGCUACUGUGACUGUGCAUGCAUGCCGAAGAGCUGAUACUGUCAUAUUACUAGUUUGUCAGGUUGUGGUGAUGUGUACUGAUGGGGACCUGUUAUGAGACACAGUACCACACAUAUCCAAUGGUGUAGUUGAGGUUAGGAUGGUCUUUAUGAUCAAUAUAUUAGAGUGGUAAAUCCAUUAGAGUGGUAGCACAGAGAGGUCACAAAAUUAUCUGGAGUUUCGUUGAUUAUCACAUUCUCUGAUUCUUGUGUCUUUCUCUAUGUAACUAUGUUAUGCAUUUCUUAUAAAGUUUGUACAUAUCAUGGUGAAAAUAUGGAAUUUGUGGACCUAUAGAAAAGAAGACCUUGCGACAAUUGUUCAUUCUGUAUACCAUUCUCUUAACUUAAAUGGUAAUUAGUCUUGUAUACUUGUCAAGUGAAUUAUCUGGUUAUGCAUAUCAAAAUUCAAGCUCAACAGUUUUUUGGUAUUCUUAACAUCGCUUCUAGGCUUUAGCAGUUCCAGAGUUCGUUAGGAAAGUUUAUGCUACAAUGAGUAAAAUAUACAUAACCAAAUGUGACUAAAAUAUAUAAAUCUUGAAUUUGAUAUUAAUUCUAGCUAACAUUAUUCUGGCAGUGCAGAAAAGAUGUUCUGAAAACAUUUCAUAGUUCACUUGGCAAUGGUAAUAUUUUUUCAGUCCAAUAUUCUCUUAGUGUCUCCAACUAUGACACUCUUCAAGACAUUAUCAUUUUAAAGUUUUUUGGAUAGCAAAUAUGGUUCAUUGUAAUUUGUAUGUAUUUGAAAUUUGAACCCAUUUGUCAACCUAAUUCUCAUAAACCAGUUAAUUGAAAUAUACAAAAUCUGGGCUUAUGGACCCUUGAGAUCUUCAUAGAUCUUGUAGUGUUUACGUCAUCCAUUACAACCUUUGCUCUUAAAUUGGUAAUCAAAACUUGGCCUAAGGCGAUACUGCCUCUCAGUUUUGAUGCAUCCUUUAUAAUGAGAGAAGAGUUGUGCUGACUGGUUAAAGGGGUUUUGUAGAAAUUACUAAUUAUUUUUAGAGAUAAUGGCUAUUUAGAAUGUUGAACGACUUCAUUUUAUACGAGUAGUUAUAACGUGUGUUCUUACCUUAUGAUUUGGAGUAUUGCGUUUGUUUAAUAAGGAGUUUGUUAUAGCAUGGUGAAACUAUGACAAUCCCUCCUUGUGCCAAAAGGAGCCGGAGACGAUAGAACCUGUCUAUCCUUAUAAGGUCAGUCUGCACUGUAAUUUUC